AAAGAAUUUAGUUAAAUAGAUAACAUUAAUUUGUCAAAUUAAAUUUAUACAAUUAUAUAAUUCUU
rnacentral:tRNA from 1 species